rnacentral:lncRNA from 1 species
CUACCGGUCCUUUUCUUGUAUAUGUUCAGUUCGACAUAUGGUGGUUCUCCAGAUCAACAUUGUGUGCUUUUUCAAUUCAUCUUGCAGGUGAAAAAGUAGCUCCCUUUUAGUUCAAAUGGAUCCAAAAAAUGGGUGCUGCAUUACAGUUCAAGACCAUUGCAUCUACUUGCGGAUGGCUUCCAUUUUGUGCUCCAUGGGUGUUUGUUCUUAUUCCUGAAAGAAAGAAAAUAAUCUAUUGCAUGUGAUAGUUCAUCUGAUCUAUAUGAUUUUUUUACCUAUUUUGCUCCAUUUUUUUCCUUACAGAUCAUGAUCUUGAGAGGCUCGCUGUCGAGACUAAAGGGAAAUUCCAUUUUCCAAUUGUUCUUUUAGUAGUACUGUUUCAGUCCAACUUUGAUAGGAUAAUGAGGAUCAGUGAACUUCCAAUGGUUACUUCUUAUAGUUGUUCUUUGUAUUACUUCAUGGGCGAUAGGGAUAUGCACAAGUCGUUGUCGUCCACAUCGUCGCCACAAGGAAACACCAGCAUCACUGCCAGCUACACGCACAUCUUUGGCACGUAGGUUUUUGCACUAAAAAUGUAUGCACUAUUGCACUGAAAGUUGUGGCCAUUUAAUGAAAAAAUAUUUUCUAUAGAACCAGUUUCUCAAGUUGUCGCCGCGUGGACGCGUCCCACUCCAACGGCAUGGCUUAUGCUUCAGUGGCAAACAGUGGAGCCCGCUGGAGGAGUCACGGGUCAAGGACCUCCUGCUCAACAGUACAACGUCUUGUUUUGUGGCAAGUCGCUCAAGGAGCUGAGUGCAUGCCGCA